rnacentral:rRNA from 1 species
ACCUUCGGGCCUCUUGCCAUCGGAUGUGCCCAGAUGGGAUUAGCUAGUAGGUGGGGUAACGGCUCACCUAGGCGACGAUCCCUAGCUGGUCUGAGAGGAUGACCAGCCACACUGGAACUGAGACACGGUCCAGACUCCUACGGGAGGCAGCAGUGGGGAAUAUUGCACAAUGGGCGCAAGCCUGAUGCAGCCAUGCCGCGUGUAUGAAGAAGGCCUUCGGGUUGUAAAGUACUUUCAGCGGGGAGGAAGGGAGUAAAGUUAAUACCUUUGCUCAUUGACGUUACCCGCAGAAGAAGCACCGGCUAACUCCGUGCCAGCAGCCGCGGUAAUACGGAGGGUGCAAGCGUUAAUCGGAAUUACUGGGCGUAAAGCGCACGCAGGCGGUUUG